rnacentral:ncRNA from 1 species
UAAAGUAGUGGGCAAAGCUAUAGUGAUAUAGUGACGCAAAGCUCUAGAGCCUUAGUAUUUAAGGUAGUCAGCUGCAUUU